GUCAACGACCCUCCACUAAACCCUAAAGCGGUUGUCGUGGGGGCUUGAGAACCCAGACGCCUGAAGCCAUGGGAGCCGAUCGGUUCACCGACUCCCUAAAAGAAGGGCAGGAUUCGACAAGCCGGUUGACCAGACUCAGUCCGCUUGCAGACUACGUUGCGUACAGGUCGUCAAGACCCACCCCGGGGUGCUUCCUCAGGUCCGGGCUCUGGA
rnacentral:sRNA from 21 species